UACGGAGGAUCCAAGCGUUAUCCGGAUUUAUUGGGUUUAAAGGGUGCGUAGGCGGAAGAUUAAGUCGGUGGUGAAAUUUUGCAGCUCAACUGUAAAAGUGCCAUUGAUACUGGUUUUCUUGAGUAUGGAUGAAGUAGGCGGAAUUUGUGGUGUAGCGGUGAAAUGCAUAGAUAUCACGAGGAACUCCAAUUGCGCAGGCAGCUUACUAAGCCAUAACUGACGCUCAGGCACGAAGGCGUGGGGAUCAAACAGGAUUAGAUA
rnacentral:rRNA from 1 species